rnacentral:lncRNA from 1 species
AUAACCCAUGACUGUGGUCCUGAAGAUCACAAGUCGGUCCUGAAGACCGACUCGGACAUCAACUGCCGUACUCUUUUUUCCUUGAUGAGUUUUUCCCACCGGGUUUUCUCAUGCAAGGUUUUUAACGAGGCGACAGGUGCAACAUAAGCAAUGCAUGUGAUGUACUCUUUUCUCCUACCCUUUUUUCCCAUUGGGUUUUUGGGGGGAGUUUUUAACGAGGCAUACACAUGAGAUGUAAUUGGCCAAGGGGGAGUGUUGUGAAUCAAAGUCCAAAAGCAAUGUGUACAAGAGACUUUGAGUGGUGGCCAAUUAAAUGAUGAGGAGGAAAAAGUAUUAGCUUUCACACUAGCAAAGUUCAGCUUCCUCUCCUAUAAAUAGGAGA